AACGAACGCUGGCGGCAUGCCUAACACAUGCAAGUCGAACGAUGCUUUCGGGCAUAGUGGCGCACGGGUGCGUAACGCGUGGGAAUCUGCCCUUGGGUUCGGAAUAACAGUGAGAAAUUGCUGCUAAUACCGGAUGAUGUCUUCGGACCAAAGAUUUAUCGCCCAGGGAUGAGCCCGCGUAGGAUUAGCUAGUUGGUGGGGUAAUGGCCUACCAAGGCGACGAUCCUUAGCUGGUCUGAGAGGAUGAUCAGCCACACUGGGACUGAGACACGGCCCAGACUCCUACGGGAGGCAGCAGUGGGGAAUAUUGGAAAAUGGGGGCAAGCCUGAUCCAGCAAUGCCGCGUGAGUGAUGAAGGCCUUAGGGUUGUAAAGCGCUUUUAACCGGGAUGAUAAUGACAGUACCGGGAGAAUAAGCUCCGGCUAACUACGUG
rnacentral:rRNA from 1 species